CCCGGCUCUGAAGGAGCAACUUGGAAUUGAUGUUCGUCUGAAGAGGGUUUCGCGGCCCAAAUCAGUGCCGAGCAUAUUCCCUCGGGGGACAAGCUCGAGGGGGGCGAGCGGCACCGACUCCAGCUGCAGGGGGUCUCGUGCUCUGGAGAAAAGGCAGCGGCUGGAGAUACUCCAGGAAUGCCAGUCUGAGUAGGCCUAUGUUGCUGCAGAGGAAAGAGAUGGCUUCACUGCUGACGGGGUCCCAUCAAUUGAUGUGUCAAGAAGAAGUUGCAGAGCCUUGGUCAAACCAGAGGUUGCCAGGAUGUCAAACCCUGGGUGGGAAGUAUAAUAAACCAUCUGUACUGGGCUGUGGUCUCGACGCCUCCUGACAAUGUUCAACUUGUGGUGGACAAAUGGACAUCAGUUAUGGAUCACAUCCACAACAGGCAUACCGGAUUCGAGGGACUGUUCUCUUCUUGUGCACACAGAGUCUUGGAAGGCAGGGAACAGCCUGUGUCACUUUUCAUACAAAGGGAUGGAGAGCAGGCUAUGCUGAAGAGCUGAUGCGGAUGGUGGAGGCCAUGUGUCGAGUUGAGGACUACAGCUGUGAUGACUUUGACAUUCCAGACCUAUCCCCUGUUCCAGAGCCACUGAGUGCAUCAUGUGAAAAGCCGGAUAAGAGGGCAGCAGUCAGUAC